rnacentral:rRNA from 1 species
UGGCCCUACGGGAGGCAGCAGUAGGGAAUCUUCCACAAUGGGCGAAAGCCUGAUGGAGCAACGCCGCGUGGGGGAAGAAGGUCUUCGGAUCGUAAAACCCUGUUGUUAGAGAAGAAAGUGCGUGAGAGUAACUGUUCACGUUUCGACGGUAUCUAACCAGAAAGCCACGGCUAACUACGUGCCAGCAGCCGCGGUAAUACGUAGGUGGCAAGCGUUAUCCGGAUUUAUUGGGCGUAAAGGGAAGGCAGGCGGUAUUUUAAGUCUGAUGUGCAAGCCUUCGGCUUAACCGGAGUAG